AAGCUCGUAGUCGGAGGUGUGUCUCGGACGGUCGGUUCGCCGCUUGUCGGUGCUCAACUGGCCGGUCCGGACGUCCUGCCGGUGGGGCUGUAAAAGGCUCCGUUAUCCUUCUUUGGUCCUCUUCAUUGAGUGCCUUGGUGGGCCGGCACGUUUACUUUGAACAAAUUAGAGUGCUCAAAGCAGGCCGUUGGUCGCCUGAAUACUGUGUGCAUGGAAUAAUGGAAAAGGACCUCUGUUCCAUUUUGUUGGUUUUCAGAACUAGAGGUAAUGAUUAAUAGGGACGGACGGGGGCAUUCGUAUUGCGACGUUAGAGGUGAAAUUCUUGGAUCGUCGCAAGACGAACCGAUGCGAAAGCAUUUGCCAAGAACGUUUUCGUUGAUCAAGAACGAAAGUUAGAGGUUCGAAGGCGAUCAGAUACCGCCCUAGUUCUAACCAUAAACGAUGCCAGCUAGCCAUCCGCCGAAGUUCCUUAUAUGACUCGGCGGGCAGCUUCCGGGAAACCAAAGCUCUUGGGUUCCGGGGGAAGUAUGGUUGCAAAG
rnacentral:rRNA from 1 species